rnacentral:rRNA from 1 species
AGUGAACGCUGGCGGUAGGCCUAACACAUGCAAGUCGAACGGCAGCACAGUAAGAGCUUGCUCUUACGGGUGGCGAGUGGCGGACGGGUGAGGAAUACAUCGGAAUCUACUUUUUCGUGGGGGAUAACGUAGGGAAACUUACGCUAAUACCGCAUACGACCUACGGGUGAAAGCAGGGGAUCUUCGGACCUUGCGCGAUUGAAAGAGCCGAUGUCGGAUUAGCUAGUUGGCGGGGUAAAGGCCCACCAAGGCGACGAUCCGUAGCUGGUCUGAGGGGAUGAUCAGCCACACUGGAACUGAGACACGGUCCAGACUCCUACGGGAGGCAGCAGUGGGGAAUAUUGGACAAUGGGCGCAAGCCUGAUCCAGCCAUACCGCGUGGGUGAAGAAGGCCUUCGGGUUGUAAAGCCCUUUUGUUGGGAAAGAAAAGCAGCAGGUUAAUACCCCGCUGUUCUGACGGUACCCAAAGAAUAAGCACCGGCUAACUUCGUG